rnacentral:rRNA from 1 species
GGGGAAUAUUGGACAAUGGACCAAAAGUCUGAUCCAGCAAUUCUGUGUGCACGAUGACGUUUUUCGGAAUGUAAAGUGCUUUCAGUUGGGAAGAAAAAAAUGACGGUACCAACAGAAGAAGUGACGGCUAAAUACGUGCCAGCAGCCGCGGUAAUACGUAUGUCACAAGCGUUAUCCGGAUUUAUUGGGCGUAAAGCGCGUCUAGGUGGUUAUGUAAGUCUGAUGUGAAAAUGCAGGGCUCAACUCUGUAUUGCGUUGGAAACUGUAUGACUAGAGUACUGGAGAGGUAAGCGGAACUACAAGUGUAGAGGUGAAAUUCGUAGAUAUUUGUAGGAAUGCCGAUGGGGAAGCCAGCUUACUGGACAGAUACUGACGCUAAAGCGCGAAAGCGUGGGUAGCAAACAGGAUUAGAUACCCUGGUAGUCCACGCCGUAAACGAUGAUUACUAGGUGUUGGGGGUCGAACCUCAGCGCCCAAGCUAACGCGAUAAGUAAUCCGCCUGGGGAGUACGUACGCAAGUAUG